rnacentral:rRNA from 1 species
AGCGAACGCUGGCGGCAGGCCUAACACAUGCAAGUCGAACGGAUCCUUCGGGAUUAGUGGCGGACGGGUGAGUAACACGUGGGAACGUGCCCUUUGGUUCGGAACAACUCAGGGAAACUUGAGCUAAUACCGGAUGUGCCCUUCGGGGGAAAGAUUUAUCGCCAUUGGAGCGGCCCGCGUCUGAUUAGCUAGUUGGUGGGGUAAAGGCCCACCAAGGCGACGAUCAGUAGCUGGUCUGAGAGGAUGAUCAGCCACAUUGGGACUGAGACACGGCCCAAACUCCUACGGGAGGCAGCAGUGGGGAAUCUUGCGCAAUGGGCGAAAGCCUGACGCAGCCAUGCCGCGUGAAUGAUGAAGGCCUUAGGAUUGUAAAAUUCUUUCACCGGGGACGAUAAUGACGGUACCCGGAGAAGAAGCCCCGGCUAACUUCGUGCCAGCAGCCGCGGUAAUACGAAGGGGGCUAGCGUUGCUCGGAAUUACUGGGCGUAAAGGGAGCGUAGGCGGACUGUUAAGUUAGAGGUGAAAGCCCAGGGCUCAACCUUGGAAUUGCCUUUGAUACUGGCAGUCUUGAGUACGGAAGAGGUAUGUGGAACUCCGAGUGUAGAGGUGAAAUUCGUAGAUAUUCGGAAGAACACCAGUGGCGAAGGCGACAUACUGGUCCGUUACUGACGCUGAGGCUCGAAAGCGUGGGGAGCAAACA